GCAAGUCGAACGGUAACAUUUCUAGCUUGCUAGAAGAUGACGAGUGGCGGACGGGUGAGUAAUGCUUGGGAACUUGCCUUUGCGAGGGGGAUAACAGUUGGAAACGACUGCUAAUACCGCAUAAUGUCUUCGGACCAAACGGGGCUUCGGCUCCGGCGCAAAGAGAGGCCCAAGUGAGAUUAGCUAGUUGGUAAGGUAACGGCUUACCAAGGCGACGAUCUCUAGCUGUUCUGAGAGGAAGAUCAGCCACACUGGGACUGAGACACGGCCCAGACUCCUACGGGAGGCAGCAGUGGGGAAUAUUGCACAAUGGGGGAAACCCUGAUGCAGCCAUGCCGCGUGUGUGAAGAAGGCCUUCGGGUUGUAAAGCACUUUCAGUUGUGAGGAAAAGUUAGUAGUUAAUACCUGCUAGCCGCGACGUUNACAACAGAAGAAGCACCGGCUAACUCCGUGCCAGCAGCCGCGGUAAUACGGAGGGUGCGAGCGUUAAUCGGAAUUACUGGGCGUUAAGCACACGCA
rnacentral:rRNA from 1 species